UCCACACUGCAUCGGUCCAAAUGGUGCCGUGAGGUCACCAAUCGUCACCUGGAUCUCAAGUGGGACCAUGAUCCAGCAGUCGAUAGCGACCUCAAGGGGGAACCGCUCCGAGGAUCGGGACUGUGAGACCAGUGCCGCGAGUCUAACCGGUGCCGUGAGUCAGACUGGUACCUAUGGCAGUGCCGGGAGUCUGAGCGGCGUGGAGAUGCUGGUCUGAGGGCUGCCAUUCCGAACAUCGCCGGUUUACCCUUGGACAGUACCAGGACUCGGGUUGGGGCUGGUGCUGGGGCUGGAGGCUCCGGAGCCAUCAUUUUGAUGAGCCCUCUGGCAGCCUCGGAGGUAUCCAGUGUGGAAGAUUCCCAAACCUGAUCGACUUAGAAAAAUAUCCUUGAGUCUAGUAGACAAAUUUACCAAAGAAUCCUGAAAGCAAGAAUCUGCUGUUGCUAAGUGCCGAUGGGAAAGGCAGUGCCACCCAACUAGUUUUUAGGGGUUAAUCCUUACUAAUAUGGUAUGGAUGAAGGUUAUUUUGAGGAGAAGCAUGGCGGUACUCAAACAACUGUACAGUACAGCUCUACAAAGCAUCUUACAUAGGAACAUACUUCAUAUUCAGUAUUUCUUCUUGAUCAUCCUACGUUGCUGCUGAUUGUUUCUGGAUGUGACAGCAUGACUAUUUUAUUAUAAAUGCUCUGUUAUCCUAUAUUGAAGAAAGUGUCAAAGCAUAUUUUGCUCAAAGGGAAACACUCAGUACAGACUCUAGCCAAGGAGUGUGGAGCCUAGGAUUUUAAGUGUAUAUCAUGAACCAGGAUUCUAGUUUACUGAGUAAAGAUUUUUUCAGGGGUCCAAGAACAGCUCUGCCCAUUUGCCCAUAACAAGCUCAUGUUUCCAUCUGGAUUCCCAAUUUUCAGUCCACCUACCUGAGUAAGAAGGAGCAAGGGAAAAGGCGAUGGUCACAAUAAACAUGACUGAGUGAAUACAUUCAAGGACAAACUAAAGAAGUUUAGCCACUACAUUUUUUCCUGAAUGAAGAUAUUUUUAGGAUGAUUAUAUUUUACAAUAUAUAUGCAGACUUGCUAAUUGUUUCAGUUACAAGAAAUACUACAAACCAUACCCUUUGCCCACAAAGAAAAAGAAACUACAUAUAUUGAAGGAUUCC